UAUCUCUCCGUACGGGGAAGGAUGAGAAGCUUCGACUAAGGUUCGAUUCGAGCGCAGCGAGAAAGCGUUGCCGCAGGCAACGCCCCGAAGGGUGAGGAGCGGAGCGACGAAUAAUCCUUCCCCCACCACCA
rnacentral:sRNA from 2 species